rnacentral:rRNA from 1 species
AACGAUGUCGACUUGGAGGUUGUGCCCUUGAGGCGUGGCUUCCGGAGCUAACGCGUUAAGUCGACCGCCUGGGGAGUACGGCCGCAAGGUUAAAACUCAAAUGAAUUGACGGGGGCCCGCACAAGCGGUGGAGCAUGUGGUUUAAUUCGAUGCAACGCGAAGAACCUUACCUGGUCUUGACAUCCACGGAAGUUUUCAGAGAUGGAUUGGUGCCUUCGGGAACUGUGAGACAGGUGCUGCAUGGCUGUCGUCAGCUCGUGUUGUGAAAUGUUGGGUUAAGUCCCGCAACGAGCGCAACCCUUAUCCUUUGUUGCCAGCGGUCCGGCCGGGAACUCAAAGGAGACUGCCAGUGAUAAACUGGAGGAAGGUGGGGAUGACGUCAAGUCAUCAUGGCCCUUACGACCAGGGCUACACACGUGCUACAAUGGCGCAUACAAAGAGAAGCGACCUCGCGAGAGCAAGCGGACCUCAUAAAGUGCGUCGUAGUCCGGAUUGGAGUCUGCAACUCGACUCCAUGAAGUCGGAAUCGCUAGUAAUCGUGGAUCAGAAUGCCACGGUGAAUACGUUCCCGGGCCUUGUACACACCGCCCGUCACACCAUGGGAGUGGGUUGCAAAAGAAGUAGGUAGCUUAACCUUCGGGAGGGCGCUUACCACUUUGUGAUUCAUGACUGGGGUGAAGUCGUAACAAGGUAACCGUAGGGGAACCUGCGGUUG